rnacentral:tRNA from 1 species
ACCUGAGUGGCUCAGUUGGUUAAGCGUCUGACUUCAGCUCAGGUCAUGAUCUCACGGUUCGUGGGUUUGAGUCCCGUGUCAGGCU